rnacentral:rRNA from 1 species
UACGUAGGGGGCGAGCGUUAUCCGGAAUUACUGGGUGUAAAGGGAGCGUAGACGGCGAAGUAAGCCUGAAGUGGAAGCCCGCGGCCCAACCGCGGAACUGCUUUGGGAACUGCUUAGCUGGAGUAUGGGAGGGGUAAGCGGAGUUCCCGGUGUAGCGGUGAAAUGCGUAGAUAUCAGGAGGAACACCGGUGGCGAAGGCGGCUUACUGGACCAUGACUGACGUUGAGGCUCGAAAGCGUGGGGAGCGAACAGG